rnacentral:rRNA from 1 species
UAGGGAAUCUUCCACAAUGGGCGCAAGCCUGAUGGAGCAACACCGCGUGAGUGAAGAAGGGUUUCGGCUCGUAAAGCUCUGUUGUUAAAGAAGACACGUAUGAGAGUAACUGUUCAUACGUUGACGGUAUUUAACUAGAAAGUCACGGCUAACUACGUGCCAG